GGCUAGGUAUCUCAGUUAGUUAGAGAGCGGAGCUCAUACCUCCGAUGUCGGGGGUGCAACUCCCUCCUUAGCCACCA
rnacentral:tRNA from 1 species